GAGGUCUUAGUUUAACUAAAGCGAUUGAUUUGCACUCAGUAGAUGUAAGAUACAGACUUGCAGUCCUUG
rnacentral:tRNA from 1 species